rnacentral:tRNA from 1 species
GGACCCGUGGCCUAGUCUGGAUAGGGCAUCGGCCUCCUAAGCCGAGGGUCCCCGGUUCAAAUCCGGGCGGGUCCGCCA